UGGGGAAUAUUGCGCAAUGGGCGAAAGCCUGACGCAGCGACGCCGCGUGGGUGAUGAAGGCCUUCGGGUCGUAAAGCCCUGUCGGAGGGGACGAACCCUCUACGACCUAACACGUCGUAGACCUGACGGUACCCUCUAAGGAAGCACCGGCUAACUCCGUGCCAGCAGCCGCGGUAAUACGGAGGGUGCGAGCGUUGUUCGGAAUUACUGGGCGUAAAGCGCGUGUAGGCGGCCAUCUAAGUCUGGUGUGAAAUCCCGGGGCUUAACCACGGAAGCGCACUGGAUACUGGGUAGCUAGAGUACUGGAGAGGAGGGUGGAAUUCCUGGUGUAGCGGUGAAAUGCGUAGAUAUCAGGAAGAACACCGGUGGCGAAGGCGGCCCUCUGGACAGAUACUGACGCUGAGACGCGAAAGCGUGGGGAGCAAACAG
rnacentral:rRNA from 1 species